UACGAAGGGGGCUAGCGUUGCUCGGAAUCACUGGGCGUAAAGGGUGCGUAGGCGGCUUUUUAAGUCAGGGGUGAAAUCCCGGGGCUCAACCCCGGAGCUGCCCUUGAAACUGGAGAGCUAGAAUCUUGGAGAGGCGAGUGGAAUUCCGAGUGUAGAGGUGAAAUUCGUAGAUAUUCGGAAGAACACCAGUGGCGAAGGCGACUCGCUGGACAAGUAUUGACGCUGAGGUGCGAAAGCGUGGGGAGCAAACAGG
rnacentral:rRNA from 1 species